UACGUAGGUGGCAAGCGUUUGUCCGGAUUUACUGGGCGUAAAGAGCGCGCAGGCGGUCGUUCAAGUCGCGUGUGAAAGCCCCCGGCUCAACUGGGGAGGGUCACGCGAUACUGAUCGACUCGAAGGCAGGAGAGGGAAGUGGAAUUCCCGGUGUAGUGGUGAAAUGCGUAGAUAUCGGGAGGAACACCAGUGGCGAAGGCGACUUCCCGGCCUGUUCUUGACGCUGAGGCGCGAAGCUAGGGGAGCAAACGGG
rnacentral:rRNA from 1 species